GGGCACAUGGUGUAGUCGGUUAUCACAUUCGCUUAGCACGUUGCAGAUUUUGUGCUGGGUUCAAUUCCCAGUGUGUCCA